AUGGCCGCUACCAAUGCAAACACGCAGCUGAUCAUGCAACUUCUUCAAGAGUGCAACCAAGGGAACCAGGGCCAAGGGAACAAUCAGAAUCACUUUGCUACACUCAACCAGUUCCUUGCUAACCAGCCAAAGACCUUCAGCAAUUGUGUUGAGGCAACAGACGCUGAUGAUUGGCUCGUGGACAUAUGCAAGCAUUUCGAGUGCAGUAACGUCAGUCCUGAGGACUUUGUCAAGUUCGCUUCCUUCCAACUCAAAGACCAAGCUGCAGAAUGGCUUCAACAGUACAAAGAUUCCAGAGGAGGCCGUGUGAUUACCUGGGAUGAAUUCCCUCAAGACUUCAAAGCUCAUCAUAUUCCUCAGAGCGUGGUUGAAAGCAAGCGUGAGGAAUUCCGCAACCUGAAGCAAAUCUCUAUGUCUGUUUACGAGUACAACAAGAUGUUUCAGAAGCUCGCCCGUUUUUCGAAGCAAGACGUCCCUGACGAGAGGAGCAUGAUAUAG
rnacentral:rRNA from 1 species